AGUGGCAAACGGGUGAGUAACACGUAAGUAACCUGCCCUCUAGUUUGGGAUAACCUCGUGAAAACGGGACUAAGACCAAAUAAUUCCCAUCUAACGCAUGUUAGACGGGGCAAAAAUGGCGGAAUUUCGACGCGAGUUGAAAUGCUAUUGCUGGAGGAGGGGCUUGCGUCCUAUCAGCUAGUUGGUAGGGUAAUGGCCUACCAAGGCUUUUGACGGGUAGUUGGACUGAGAGGUCGACCAACCACACGGGGACUGAGACACGGCCCUGACUCCUACGGGAGGCAGCAGUCGAGAAUCUUUCGCAAUGGGCGAAAGCCUGACGAAGCGACGCCGCGUGCGCGAUGAAGUCUUUCGGGAUGUAAAGCGCUGUUAGUUCGGAUUAAGCCCUCGGCAAUAAAUAAUUGUCAAGGGUUGACUGUACGAGCAGAGAAAGCCACGGCUAACUCCGUGCCAGCAGCCGCGGUAAUACGGAGGUGGCGAGCGUUACUCGGAUUUACUGGGUGUAAAGGGCAUGUAGGCGUCUUGCAAAGUCUCGUUUGAAAUCCUCUGGCUUAACCAGAGAACUGGGCGAGAAACUUGCAGGAUUGAGUUCGACAGAAGGGAGCGGAAUUCCCGGUGUAGCGGUGAAAUGCGUAGAUAUCGGGAAGAACACCCGUGGCGAAAGCGGCUCCCUAGGCCGAAACUGACGCUGAUAUGCGAAAGCUAGGGGAGCAAACAGGAUUAGAUACCCUGGUAGUCCUAGCCGUAAACGAUGGGUACUANGUGUCUUGUCAAUAGAUGAGGCGCCGCAGCUAACGCAUUAAGUACCCCACCUGGGGACUACGGCCGCAAGGUUAAAACUCAAAU
rnacentral:rRNA from 1 species